GAUUUCUCACAUCACAACAAAACAAGGGCCGGGAACAUUUCUGCUGCACAUUCAUCAGGCAAAGCGGAGCGAUACUGGAGUUUACUAUUGUUUAGAAAUAAACACACUCACUGUGACACUAAAGAAAUCGACAUUUCUGAUAAUUGAAGGACCAGAAGCCGAUGUCCCCGUAAUCACUAAAAGCGCUCCAGCAGAUCCCGUCCGUCCAGGAGACUCAGUGACUCUGAAGUGUUCCGUCCUCUCCGUCUCUGAGGAGACGGAAUGUCCAGAAGGACAGAAGGUGUUCUGGUUCAAAGCCGGCUCGGAUAGAUCUCCUCCACAUGUGAUUUAUGUCCAUGGAAACCGGGAUGGAUGUGAGCAGAGUCCUGAGGCUCCCCCUCCACACAGAUGUGUCUACAGCUUCUCUAAGAACAUCAGCUCCUCUGACGCCGGCACGUAUUACUGUGCCGCGGCCACAUGUGGACAGAUGCUACUUGGAGAAGGAACAACACUGGAAACUGAAGCCCCCCUCAUGUGGGAUUUGCAGGAGACGGUUCUGAUCGUCCUGUCAGCAGCUCUGGCUUUUUGUCUGCUUGUUGUCGUCUUCCUGAUGUUUAUUAUCAAGAGGAAAACUUGUCAAUGCUGCAACGAUGCAGUUACUCCUCAAACAGCCGGCUGUGACCCCCGAGGUCAGCAGAGAGAUCAAGACCUUCUGACUUAUUCUGCACCAACCUUCACCGCCAGGAAAACAGUCCGAGCAGAGAGAGAGAACGCUGAAGCAGCAGCAGAGACCGUCUACGCUGGUGUCAGGACUUAGUGAUACAUUAACAACAUUGUUCUAUUAUUAGACAUAAAGUCAAUUUAGUUGUUGAUAUUCUGCUUCAAAUGUGUUAUUGAUUCAUGUCAUUUUAUUCCUAUUAGUUACAGUCUUUUACUUUGAAAACCUUUGAAAACUCGUUUUAUUUUGAUGAGUUGUGAUGAUUUUUGUUGCUUCAUUGUGCAGCUUCUCUUGAUUCUUUUAUAAUGAUGUGAACCUCAGAUAGUCAGAGGUCUGAGGGAUGUUUCCAACUGGGUCUCGUCUGUAACGACGUAAACUUCUGCUGUUUGCAUCGAUGAAAGGUUUCCCUCUUCUCAAAGGGUUUCUCUUUUCUCAUAAGGGUGAAAUCAUGAUUUGAUUCAUUUGAAAAUAACUUUAGUAGCUGAUCUUGUAUAAGACAAACAUUUUGUCUGAUACCACACUGACCUCUGACUACUCUUAAGAGAUUUACAUCAUUUUCAUUCAUUCUUCUUGGAGAAAAGGCUCCCAUUUGCUUGUGGAAAAGAAACUAAUUACUGUAUAAUUAGAUUAAGCAUGAAGAAAAUCAUCAAAAACAAAUAAAAACCUUUUUAAUUCCUUUAAA